AGGCUCCACCACUGUCAGUCCUGAAACAUCAACUAGACCAAUGAUGACUUCUGCUAGGAGCAGUCCAGGGACCCCUGCACCGUCAGCUGGUGAAACAACUGGAGCCUCAGCCCAGCCUGGAGAAGAAUCAGCAACAACUCAAGUUUCUACAGGUGUAACCAAAACAACAGACAAAGAUAAAGGAAAUGCCAAUGACCUACCAUUCAGAGGAG